UGUCUAUAAUGAUGUCUGGUGCCCUUUC
rnacentral:piRNA from 1 species